rnacentral:rRNA from 1 species
UACGUAGGGUGCAAGCGUUGUCCGGAAUUAUUGGGCGUAAAGAGCUCGUAGGCGGUUUGUCGCGUCGAAUGUGAAAACCCGGGGCUCAACCCCGGGCCUGCAUUCGAUACGGGCAGACUAGAGUUCGGCAGGGGAGACUGGAAUUCCUGGUGUAGCGGUGAAAUGCGCAGAUAUCAGGAGGAACACCGGUGGCGAAGGCGGGUCUCUGGGCCGAUACUGACGCUGAGGAACGAAAGCGUGGGGAGCGAACAGG